rnacentral:rRNA from 1 species
GGAGGCAGCAGUGGGGAAUUUUCCGCAAUGGGCNAAAGCCUGACGGAGCAAUACCGCGUGAGGGAGGAAGGCUCUUGGGUUGUAAACCUCUUUUCUCAGGGAAUAAAAAAAUGAAGGUACCUGAGGAAUAAGCAUCGGCUAACUCCGUGCCAGCAGCCGCGGUAAUACGGAGGAUGCAAGCGUUAUCCGGAAUGAUUGGGCGUAAAGCGUCCGCAGGUGGCACUGUAAGUCUGCUGUUAAAGAGCAAGGCUCAACCUUGUAAAGGCAGUGGAAACUACAGAGCUAGAGUACGUUCGGGGCAGAGGGAAUUCCUGGUGUAGCGGUGAAAUGCGUAGAGAUCAGGAAGAACACCGGUGGCGAAAGCGCUCUGCUAGGCCGUAACUGACACUGAGGGACGAAAGCUAGGGGAGCGAAUGGGAUUAGAUACCCCAGUAGUCCUAGCCGUAAACGAUGGAUACUAGGCGUGGCUUGUAUCGACC